UAUUUGCCACUUUUAAUAUGGGGCUUCGCAAAAAUGCCACUGUCAAGAUUGAUUUCGUAAAAAUGCCAUCCAGCUCGUGUGCACUUCGAUUAACAUGCCAUUUUUAUUUUUCCCAUUGUUUUUAUUUUUUAUUUUUUAUUUUCUAACACCUGAAAGGACCAAAGUGUCCUUGAAUCUUUGAACCUUAUUCGAUGGGUUUGCGGGCUGGUUGGAUGGAUUGCUGAGCCUACCUCAUCCUUGUUGAUCGUGCUUGCUCGAGCCACCUUAGCUCGAGCACGCCCAUGGAAGCAAACCACAGGUCACCGCCGUCUCUCGUCAACACCUGUGUGCACCAUCGCAGCUUGCCUUACCACAUCCAUGGAAGCAACCGCAGGUCGCCGUCAGUACGCGCCCAUGCCUGCUCGCGCCGGCGCAGCUCACCCACGCCUUGUUGAUGCAUGCGCGAGCAACUCAAGCUCGCCGGCGGUGCUUGUGCACGUCUGCACGUGCUGGCGCAGCCUCGCGGAUGCCUGCACGAGACACCGCAGCUCGCCGCCGGUGCUCACCCUCCCCUACACGCGUUGGCUCAGCUCGUCCUGAGAGCCAAGACAUGCGAGGGCGUCGCAUAACAGCACCACCAGUGGCGUGAUGGUAGCACCAGCUAAAGGAGGAGGUGGAUGUGUGUGCAUGUUCUGAAGAUGGAUAUGCAAGGAACCUUCAGUAUGUAUACCUGCAAAGAUUGAUGCAAGGCGUCUAAAAGAUAGUGGAUCCGGCAAGCACGAGAAUGGGCUUGCACGCUCUCCUAUUUCAAGUGUUGAUCAUAUCCCAAGUGCGUCUAGAUAAUAUCAAGGGCAGUUUAGUCUUUUCCGGUGCCUGGAAAUGGAAAAAGAAGAAAGAAAUCUGUAAAAGGAGUGGAAUGGCAUGUUAAUCAAACUGCACUUGAGCUGGAUGGCAUUUUUACAAAGCCAAUCUUGAAAGUGGCACCUUUGCGAAGCCCCGUAUUGAAAGUGGUAAAAAGUCAAUUUUCUCGCUGAGACGUGUUUCUUCAUCGGUAGGCGAUUGUUCUCGGCUCGUGCCCUGCUGCCUCUCUCGCCAGAUCCGCCGUCGAGGUAAGGUGGAGCAGCGUGGCUGCCUCAUCGCCAUGGUGGGGGAUGGUGGGAGGAUGGCCGGCAUGGACGAACCACGAGGAGCAACAUCACUAUUGCGAGAAGCUCGGUGGUGGCCAGAUCUAGAGUCCAGCGGCUCGGCGGCAAGGUCUGGUGAGGAGUUAAUAGCUCCUCCUCAUCUUCCUUAAAAAAAGAUUUAAGAGCCUAUGUAGAAGCGAUUCCUCUCCUUGUUUUUUUCUUAAACAAGAUUUUUGUUCUUUGCUCAAUCUUUCCAUAUGCAUCUGGUUUCGUGUGUGAUAGUGGCUUCUAUCCACUUAUUUUUAAUCCAGAAUAUGGAGACCUUAUUUUAUUUCCUCUCCUGCAAUUUUCCAGAUAGAAGACUGCACUUGUUUUGCCCCUCUCCAUACUCAGGAAUUUUUUUAUUGAUCUGAAUGUGCAUCUUGUAAUCCUUACCUGAACUUUGAUGGAAGAAACGAGGACCUUUCUACUGCUA